rnacentral:rRNA from 1 species
GACGAACGCUGGCGGCGUGCCUAAUACAUGCCAGUAGAACGCACAGUUUAUACCGUAGCUUGCUACACCAUAGACUGUGAGUUGCGAACGGGUGAGUAACGCGUAGGUAACCUGCCUGGUAGCGGGGGAUAACUAUUGGAAACGAUAGCUAAUACCGCAUAAUAUUGAUUAUUGCAUGAUAAUUGAUUGAAAGAUGCUAUUGCAUCACUACCAGAUGGACCUGCGUUGUAUUAGCUAGUAGGUGAGGUAACGGCUCACCUAGGCGACGAUACAUAGCCGACCUGAGAGGGUGAUCGGCCACACUGGGACUGAGACACGGCCCAGACUCCUACGGGAGGCAGCAGUAGGGAAUCUUCGGCAAUGGACGAAAGUCUGACCGAGCAACGCCGCGUGAGUGAAGAAGGUUUUCGGAUCGUAAAGCUCUGUUGUAAGAGAAGAACGGGCGUGAGAGUGGAAAGUUCACACUGUGACGGUAUCUUACCAGAAAGGGACGGCUAACUACGUG